GACGAACGCUGGCGGCGUGCUUAACACAUGCAAGUCGAACGGAAAGACCCUGCUUUUUUGGGGUGCUCGAGUGGCGAACGGGUGAGUAACACGUGAGUAACCUGCCCUUGACUUUGGGAUAACUUCAGGAAACUGGGGCUAAUACCGGAUAGGAGCUCCUGCUGCAUGGUGGGGGUUGGAAAGUUUCGGCGGUUGGGGAUGGACUCGCGGCUGAUCAGCUUGUUGGUGGGGUAGUGGCUUACCAAGGCUUUGACGGGUAGCCGGCCCGGGGGGGUGACCGGCCACAUUGGGACUGAGAUACGGACCAGACUCCUACGGGAGGCAGCAGUGGGGAAUAUUGCACAAUGGGCGGAAGCCUGAUGCAGCAACGCCGCGUGCGGGAUGACGGCCUUCGGGUUGUAAACCGCCUUCGCCUGUGACGAAGCGUGAGUGACGGUAAUGGGUAAAGAAGCACCGGCUAACUACGUG
rnacentral:rRNA from 1 species